rnacentral:rRNA from 1 species
GAUGAACGCUAGCGGGAGGCCUAACACAUGCAAGCCGAGCGGUAUUUCUUCUUCGGGAGAGAGAGAGCGGCGUACGGGUGCGGAACACGUGUGCAACCUGCCUUUAUCUGGAGGAUAGCCUUUCGAAAGGAAGAUUAAUACUCCAUAAUAUAUUAAUUGGCAUCAAUUGAUAUUGAAAACUCCGGUGGAUAGAGAUGGGCACGCGCAAGAUUAGCUAGUUGGUGAGGUAACGGCUCACCAAGGCAAUGAUCUUUAGGGGGCCUGAGAGGGUGAUCCCCCACACUGGUACUGAGACACGGACCAGACUCCUACGGGAGGCAGCAGUGAGGAAUAUUGGUCAAUGGGUGCAAGCCUGAACCAGCCAUCCCGCGUGAAGGAUUAAGGUCCUAUGGAUUGUAAACUUCUUUUGUAUAGGGAUAAACCUACCCUCGUGAGGGUAGCUGAAGGUACUAUACGAAUAAGCACCGGCUAACUACGUGCCAGCAGCCGCAGUAACAC